rnacentral:rRNA from 1 species
UACGGAGGGUGCAAGCGUUGCUCGGAAUUAUUGGGCGUAAAGGGUAGGUAGGUGGUCUCAUUUGUCUGGGGUGAAAGCCUUGAGCUUAACUCAAGAAGUGCCCCAGAAACGGUGAGACUAGAGUCUUGGAGAGGGUCGUGGAAUUCCCGGUGUAGCGGUGAAAUGCGUAGAGAUCGGGAGGAACACCGGUGGCGAAGGCGGUGAGCUGGGCAGUAGCUGACACUGAGGCGCGACAGCGUGGGGAGCAAACAGG